UAUUCUGUUAAGUUGAUUUUCCGGGUUGGUUUUAUAAACGGACCUUAUUCUAAAUGGAAAUAUUAAAAAAGCGUCUACGGAUAAUGUGAAAAUCAUUUUGUUUUUAGGAACUAUUAUAAUACUGUUUCAAUCUUUUUUGGGUAUAUCAAUCGGAACACCCCGUCAUCUUCCAUCGAAAACAAACUCGGAUGUAUAUGGACGGUUUACAAUAUCAGUAAACAUGUAUCUUUACCGAGUUUUACGCGAUUUCGAGCGUCCUCGUCAUCGUGGCAUCAGAGCGAGAAAUCCGAAUGCAAGGUACUCCAUUUCACAGCACGUGGAGUACGGCAACAAACAACUUCCAGCCUUCAGUGGUACCCGAUAUAUUUCCUGCUCAAGCGAAUAUAACGUUGCCUAUGAAUUUGGGCUGAAGGCUGUUCGGAGCGGGAAGUGUAAAAGUAUUAGAUUAUGUGUUUUAGAUCGGUCCGGACUGGAGAAAGACCCAUUUAUACGCGUUUUUGAUCUCUACAAGGGACCUUCAGCCCAGAAGCUUUCUCCGAAGGCAAAAGUAUAUGCAAAGAGAUAUAAAGAGGUAGUGGUAGAAGACUUUAUUCCCCCGUGUUAUGUUGUGGACGUAAAAUGUUUUUCAUUUCCAAAUGGAAAUGUUGGUUUGUCGUCAAGAAAAAGCAAGGAAUAUUUGUCCUCCGACUCGAGCAUUGACGACGGAUUGCCGAAGGAUGACGGGAAGCAAAUUCUAGAGGAACCCCGUAUGUAAAUGGCAUAUUUAAGAACAUCGAACAUGUCUUAUUGAUUCUGGAAAAUAUUAGACAUAUUAACUUACAAAGGUGCUAUUGUGGCGUGUUUCAGUUGGUAGUAUUAUACUUCACGUGACUUUACCGUGUUAAAUUCCCUUAUACCCAUCGUGAGCAAUUAUAUACUGCCACACACUGACAGUACGGUUUUGACCAGUUAACAUUAUAGUAACACAACGCAUGCGCAUCUUAAAAUGCAUUUUUUGUUUCCCAAGUCUGAGGUGUGUUGCAACUUGUUGAGUAUCAAUACUGUCUUUGUAACAUUUUUAGACCUCUAUCAUUUAAUACAAAAUAAAAUAUGA